rnacentral:rRNA from 1 species
UUAAAUUGAAGAGUUUGAUCAUGGCUCAGAUUGAACGCUGGCGGCAGGCCUAACACAUGCAAGUCGAACGGUAACAGGAAGAAGCUUGCUUCUUUGCUGACGAGUGGCGGACGGGUGAGUAAUGUCUGGGAAACUGCCUGAUGGAGGGGGAUAACUACUGGAAACGGUAGCUAAUACCGCAUAACGUCGCAAGACCAAAGAGGGGGACCUUCGGGCCUCUUGCCAUCGGAUGUGCCAGAUGGGAUUAGCUAGUAGGUGGGGUAACGGCUCACCUAGGCGACGAUCCCUAGCUGGUCUGAGAGGAUGACCAGCCACACUGGAACUGAGACACGGUCCAGACUCCUACGGGAGGCAGCAGUGGGGAAUAUUGCACAAUGGGCGCAAGCCUGAUGCAGCCAUGCCGCGUGUAUGAAGAAGGCCUUCGGGUUGUAAAGUACUUUCAGCGGGGAGGAAGGGAGUAAAGUUAAUACCUUUGCUCAUUGACGUUACCCGCAGAAGAAGCACCGGCUAACUCCGUGCCAGCAGCCGCGGUAAUACGGAGGGUGCAAGCGUUAAUCGGAAUUACUGGGCGUAAAGCGCACGCAGGCGGUUUGUUAAGUCAGAUGUGAAAUCCCCGGGCUCAACCUGGGAACUGCAUCUGAUACUGGCAAGCUUGAGUCUCGUAGAGGGGGGUAGAAUUCCAGGUGUAGCGGUGAAAUGCGUAGAGAUCUGGAGGAAUACCGGUGGCGAAGGCGGCCCCCUGGACGAAGACUGACGCUCAGGUGCGAAAGCGUGGGGAGCAAACAGGAUUAGAUACCCUGGUAGUCCACGCCGUAAACGAUGUCGACUUGGAGGUUGUGCCCUUGAGGCGUGGCUUCCGGAGCUAACGCGUUAAGUCGACCGCCUGGGGAGUACGGCCGCAAGGUUAAAACUCAAAUGAAUUGACGGGGGCCCGCACAAGCGGUGGAGCAUGUGGUUUAAUUCGAUGCAACGCGAAGAACCUUACCUGGUCUUGACAUCCACAGAACUUUCCAGAGAUGGAUUGGUGCCUUCGGGAACUGUGAGACAGGUGCUGCAUGGCUGUCGUCAGCUCGUGUUGUGAAAUGUUGGGUUAAGUCCCGCAACGAGCGCAACCCUUAUCCUUUGUUGCCAGCGGUCCGGCCGGGAACUCAAAGGAGACUGCCAGUGAUAAACUGGAGGAAGGUGGGGAUGACGUCAAGUCAUCAUGGCCCUUACGACCAGGGCUACACACGUGCUACAAUGGCGCAUACAAAGAGAAGCGACCUCGCGAGAGCAAGCGGACCUCAUAAAGUGCGUCGUAGUCCGGAUUGGAGUCUGCAACUCGACUCCAUGAAGUCGGAAUCGCUAGUAAUCGUGGAUCAGAAUGCCACGGUGAAUACGUUCCCGGGCCUUGUACACACCGCCCGUCACACCAUGGGAGUGGGUUGCAAAAGAAGUAGGUAGCUUAACCUUCGGGAGGGCGCUUACCACUUUGUGAUUCAUGACUGGGGUGAAGUCGUAACAAGGUAACCGUAGGGGAACCUGCGGUUGGAUCACCUCCUUACCUUAAAGAAGC